GUCUACGUCUGCAUAGGGGAAGGGGACACAAGAACGAGGACCAAUGAGGACUCAGAGCAAGGUGGCUCACGGGCCAAUGAGUGCCCAGGGCAGGGUUGUUUACGGACCAAUGAGAAUAGGGAGGAGGGAGCUUCAUGGACCGAUGAGAACAGAGGGCAGAGAGGAGACUUAAUUAAUUAAGGCUUGAUUAAAUGCAUUUUUCAGUCCAGAAUGAAAUGCCCUUUUGCCAUGUAUAAAGCUGUUACAGGACUAGAGGCUGAACUAAAUGCAUCCCAUGACACACAUUUCAAAGGCAGGCAACUUGCCAACAGCACACUCAAUACAGCAAGCUUGACAAGGAUUGAUGAAUAUGUCUGAAGGUGGUGGACUGUCCCCAGGAGACCAUGAAUAAAUGUGAAGACAACUCUCUGCUUAUCCUUCUCUUGUCCAUGUUCAGCGUGAUGCACACAAUCACACAAAACAGGCAGGAUGGACAGACGUGUGAGGACGGGAUGACCCAGGCCAGACACCAGUUGGGGGCGCAGCCGUGCCAGGACCCGAGUGCCAUUACUGGGGACACGCCCCCUUUCCAAG